AUACGUAGGUGGCGAGCGUUGUCCGGAAUUACUGGGCGUAAAGGGUGCGUAGGUCGGAUAUUUAAGUCAGGGGUGAAAUCCCGGGGCUCAACCUCGGAACUGCCUUUGAUACUGGGUGUCUAGAGUGUGGAAGAGGUAAGUGGAAUUCCGAGUGUAGAGGUGAAAUUCGUAGAUAUUCGGAGGAACACCAGUGGCGAAGGCGGCUUACUGGUCCAUUACUGACGCUGAGGUGCGAAAGC
rnacentral:rRNA from 1 species